rnacentral:misc_RNA from 1 species
AAGUUGUAACAAGGUUUCUGUAGGUAAACCUAUAGAAGGAUUAUUAUAUUUAGUAGCCUAGCUGCUAUUAGUGGGGUUUAUUAGCCUGCAUAGCUUAAUCACUAAUAAGCAGCAGACCCCCUAUUUGUUACCCUUGUUUUUUGUAUACCAAAGUUUCCUUAGCAGGCUUGCUUACUAGAUAGAUAAUACUAUAACCUUUUUAAUAUUCAAUUAGCGUCUAAAAAACUUAAAUAAUUA